GAUGAACGCUGGCGGCGUGCCUAAUACAUGCAAGUCGAGCGAACAAACGAGGAGCUUGCUCCUCUGACGUUAGCGGCGGACGGGUGAGUAACACGUGGAUAACCUACCUCUAAGACUGGGAUAACUUCGGGAAACCGGAUCUAAUACCGGAUAAUAUAUUGAACCGCAUGGUUCCCUAGUGAAAGACGGUUUUGCUGUCACUUAUCGAUGGGUCCGCGCCGCUUUAGCUAGUUUGUCAGGUAACGGCUUCCCAAGGCAACGAUGCGUAGCCGACCUGAGAGGGGGAUAGGCCACACUGGAACGUGGACACGGUCCAGACGCCUAAGGGAGGCAGCAGUAGGGAAUGUUACGCAAUGGGCGAAAGCAUGACGGAGCAACGCCGCGUGAGUGAUGAAGGUGUUCGGAUAGUAAAACUCUGUUAUGAGGGAAGAACAAAUGUGUAAGGAAAAAUGCACGUAGUGACGGUACCUAAUCAGAAAGCCACGGCUAACUACGUG
rnacentral:rRNA from 1 species